UAUUCUGUGGCUUAGUUGGUUAAAGUGUAUUGCAGUUAAAUACGGAGUCGAGGGUUCGAAUCCCACCGGUAUAA
rnacentral:tRNA from 1 species